AUUGAACGCUGGCGGCAGGCCUAACACAUGCAAGUCGAGCGAGCGGCGGACGGGUGAGUAAUGUAUGGGGACUGCCCGAUAGAGGGGGAUAACUACUGGAAACGGUAGCUAAUACCGCAUACUAUCGGAUAACCCAUAUGGGAUUAGCUAGUAGGUGAGGUAAUGGCUCACCUAGGCGACGAUCCCUAGCUGGUCUGAGAGGAUGCUCAGCCACACUGGUACGAGGACACGGCCCAGAAUCCUACGGAGGCAGAAGUGGGGAAUAUUGAACAAUUGGCGAAAGCCUGAUGCAGCCAUGCCGCGUGUGUGAAGAAGGCCAUGGGGUUGUAAAGUACUUUCAGUCGGGAGGCGUUACCGACAGAAGAAGCACCGGCUAACUCCGUGCCAGCAGCCGCGGUAAUAC
rnacentral:rRNA from 1 species